GACGAACGCUGGCGGCGUGCUUAACACAUGCAAGUCGAACGGAAAGGCCCUGCUUUUGUGGGGUGCUCGAGUGGCGAACGGGUGAGUAACACGUGAGUAACCUGCCCUUGACUUUGGGAUAACUUCAGGAAACUGGGGCUAAUACCGGAUAGGAGCUCCUGCUGCAUGGUGGGGGUUGGAAAGUUUCGGCGGUUGGGGAUGGACUCGCGGCUUAUCCGCUUGUUGGUGGGGUAGUGGCUUACCAAGGCUUUGACGGGUAGCCGGCCUGGGAGGGUGACCGGCCACAUUGGGACUGAGAUACGGCCCAGACUCCUACGGGAGGCAGCAGUGGGGAAUAUUGCACAAUGGGCGGAAGCCUGAUGCAGAAACGCCGCGUGCGGGAUGACGGCCUUCGGGUUGUAAACCGCUUUCGCCUGUGACGAAGCGUGAGUGACGGUAAUGGGUAAAGAAGCACCGGCUAACUACGUG
rnacentral:rRNA from 1 species